rnacentral:rRNA from 1 species
UGGGGAAUAUUGGACAAUGGGGGGAACCCUGAUCCAGCCAUGCCGCGUGUGUGAAGAAGGCCGUAUGGUUGUAAAGCACUUUAAGCGAGGAGGAGGGUACUGGUAUUAAUACUACCAGGUACUGGACGUUACUCGCAGAAUAAGCACCGGCUAACUCUGUGCCAGCAGCCGCGGUAAUACAGAGGUUGCGAGCGUUAAUCGGAUUUACUGGGCGUAAAGCGUGCGUAGGCGGCUAAUUGAGUCGGAUGUGAAAUCCCCGAGCUUAACGUGGGAAUUGCAUUCGAUACUGGUUAGCUAGAGUGUGGGAGAGGAUGGUAGAAUUCCAGGUGUAGCGGUGAAAUGCGUAGAUAUAGGAAGGAACACCAGUGGCGAAGGCGACCACCUGGGCUCAUACUGACACUGAGGUGCGAAAGCGUGGGGAGCAAACAGG